rnacentral:snRNA from 1 species
GCUCACUUGGGCAUAUACUCAAAUUAGAAUGAUGCAGAGGUGAUUAGUAUGACCCUGCACAAGGAUGACAUGCAAAUUUGUGAAGUGUUCCAUAUUUUU